GAGCUGUGGUUUGCAACCAGUUACGCUAAUGAAGACUGUGGCAUGCCCAGCCUCAUCUGGCUUUACACCAGCACCUGUGGAGAAUUUGACCCACGCCACUGAGUGCUUUGCCCAAUUAAAUGGUGUGGCAGUGGGACUAGUGCUUCCCCGUUACCUCCUGGCAGAAAGGCUGCAGAUUGCAGCUGGAUUUCUCGCAGCACCUGAGCACCUGGUGCAUCCCGAGCCACGCAGCUGGGCAGGCUGGCUUAGUGGCCAGCAGCUGGCAGGGAGCAGCUCUCCCUGUCCAGGACUAGAUCCUCAGUGUGCCACCAAAAGAAUAACCUCUGGGGUAGGCUGAACCAAGGAAAUAAUGAAGUGAUGCUGCCAAGUCUGCUUUUGAAGGGCUUCCCCUGGGCUUUGUGGCCAGGAGGUGGCUGCGGCAGCCUUCUUGCUCACUCAGUGUCUGGCUCGCUCUGGCAGCUGUGUGUACCUGCCAUGGCACUGGUGUGGAGAUGGGACAUGGGGACCCUCUCCUGCUGCUCAUGCCACCAGUGCAGCAGAGCACUUUGCCUGCAGCAUGCCUUUGUGCUGGCCAUGCCAUUCCUCUACAGAGGUGAAGCAGAGCAAGCUGGAGCAGGUCCAGGAGCCUUCAGACCUCCCCUCGCAGGCAGCCCUGGUGCAACAUUUCCCCAAACUGCCCAGCGCUCUGAUGCUGAGACCUGUCAGACCCUGGCUCAUCCUAAUGUCCCCACGGCCCCUGAGGCACUGUGUUUCCUUGGCAGAAGCAGAGUAAAGCCUUGACCGUGCUGAUAAUUUCUUCUUCUGGACAGUGCUGAUUUGGGUUUUGUUCCUUUCUCUCUGCCUGCAGGGCAGCCCAGCACGCUGGACCUGUGGUCUUGGAGCAGCGCAGUGGGUUGGGGUUCCCCUCCCCAUGGCCGCCACCCCCACCAGGCUGUCGCUGCCUGUGGCACCUUCACAGCCCUGCUACGUGCUGGGGAAGAGAGGAGCAAAGUGCUGAGAGAUGGUUGAGUCACCUGCAGAGGCCAUUUUAAAAUGAUUCAGAACAAAUUACAAGAAUUCAGAACUUCAAUCUCAGAGCAGUUUCGUUUCACGAGGAGACCUGACGCCUGCGGGGAGGUGCAACCCCCCCGAGCCGUGUCUGCUCUCCCUGCGCACGUCAGCAGCGCUUGCUGAAGCCUCUGUGACCCCACCAUUGCCUUGGUGCUGACAUUUCCCGUGGGGAGAGCUGCCUCCUGGUUCUCAGUAUUUCUCCUUUGUGGUCAAAGUCACCCCCUGGUCCCACUCUCAGGAUCUGGAGCCGAGGGAGUUCGGAGAACCUCACAUUGCACACAUGAUGAUAUUGAGAGACCCAGAAAUAUGUAUUUUUCACAUGGAAAAGUGCCACUUCAAAAGCAUAAGCUACUCCAGGUUAGGGCAACCUCCGGUUUAUAAACCUGCUAAAUGCUGCUACCCCACAAUGAACAGGGAAUGUGUGCUGGGCUGUGCCUCAGUUUCCCUCAUUGCUAGGACAACUGCAGAAGAGGUGUACAACUUCAGGACAGAGAGAAAGGCCUUUUGAAGUGCCCACCAGCCUCGGACCCGCUCGGUGCCCUGCAGCAUCAGGGACAGAGCUGGGCUUCUCUGGGGACACCUGGGUCCCUCCUCCUGAGGAGCUGACCCAGGGCCAGGCUUCCAGGGCCCCUCCCAGGGGACAGGGUCAGGGCUGCUCAACCUCUACAGACACCUGCGGGCCCUGGAGCUGUCCAGGGCCCCUUCGAGGUUCCCCUUCAGGCCAGAAUUGCCCUCAGUGCCACUCCCACCCUCCCCACCCCCCAACACAAUUUUAGAUAAGAAAUUGUGUCUUUUGUUUAUUCAUUUUUCUUUGCUGGAGGCAGGGGACUGUUUUCUUGUUGGAAGGGAAAGGAGAAA